UACCUCACCUACCCUCUUUCACCUUUUCUCCGUUCUCUCUCUUCACUCUCUGCUUCACACUCGAAGUUUCUUCAUCAUUCUCCACAAAGCUUCUUCUCCAUUCUCCACUCCACCGUCAAGCUGAGUCCUCCUUCUUCUAACUCUCUCUUUGAUAGCCACGUUUCUCUCUAUUCUCACUCAUUCACUAUUUCUUUUCUAUUUGCAGGACACGUACCAGCUUUCGUCAAACUGGAAUAAUGAAGAAGAAAGGAAAACAGCAAGGAAAAGAUACUUUCAGAGAGAAGGACACGUACCAGCUUUCGUCAAACUGGAAUAAUGAAGAAGAAAGGAAAACAGCAAGGAAAAGAUACUUUCAGAGAGAAGGUGCAGGCCACAAAACAUCCAAUUUAGUUGACCCACAAGAAGAAAAAUUUGUAUAGGUGUUGAUAGGGGCCUUGCGUUUCUUAAUGAAGAGGUUCAGCCCCACUUUAUCCAUAGAAAGAUACAAGCAACCAAAGUACUACUUGGCAAAGAUCUCCGGCCAAAAAUUUCACAUUUUUGGCUUGCAAAGCUUAUCCCACCCAUUGUAUGUUUUCCUUUUGAAGGUGGUUAUGUGGCACUAGAACAUGGAGUCCGAAAUAAAGUGACAACAAAAUCAGACGUUUAUAGCUUUGGAGCUCUAUUAUUAGAAAUUGUUAGUGGGAGGCUUAACCGAAUAGGACAUUUGCCUGUUGAAGAACACAAUCUUUUCAUUAGGGCUUCUCUUGCUUGAGGUUGGAGAGACAGAAAAGUUAAUGGAUGCUUCUCUAAAUGGAGACUUCAAUGUUGAGGAGGCCAUCAGAUUUUGUAUUGGUCUAGGUCCAAGUUCAGCCCAAGACCUAUGUCUGACACAUUAGUGAAUAAUAUGAGUGGGGCUUUCAAUGGUGUGAUUGUUGAGGCGAGGAGCAAGCCUAUCAUAAGUAUGAUGGAACAAAUUAGAGUUUACUUGAUGGAUAGAUGGGCCACCAAUAGAUCAAAGGUCACUGCAUCAGAAGGGCCAAUCUGCCCAAAAAUUAAAUCAAGAAUGAAAUAGGAAUCUAAAGAAACCAAAAAUUGGUCACCAAGGUGGUCUGCA